GCCUUGGUGGUGGAAUUGGUAGACACGAGGGACUUAAAAUCCCUUGAAAAUUGCGUUCGUGCGGGUUCAAGUCCCGCCCGAGGUA
rnacentral:tRNA from 1 species